GGCUGCCGGGGAGGAAUCAUUAACUGCGGGACCAGGGGACCUUUGAAGAAGACCCUUGGAACGCUGACGUUCGUACUGCUCCUCCCCCCCAGCCCAGGUUGCCCCAACACCCUGGGGAAGGCGAAGACCCUGGCAAUCCCUGUUGUAUAUACUUGGGACCCCCCUCCGAGCAGGGGCUCAUUCCCCACUCUGCCUCCCUGGAGCUGCAAAUGGAUUUAGGAGCCACUACACCGUGCAGUUCUCCCUUCCAGCUUCAUCACUGACUCUCGGGGCUGUUGCGCCCAUAACACCGUCCUUCGGUUCUUACCGAGUCACAGACUCACCUGCCACUACGUGCCCCGAGUUCUCUCUACCCAGAUCCUUUCCAGAAAUUUUAUGGGUAGAGAAGGCCGGGGCGGCACACGCGAGACCAAAUAUCAUUUUGCCAAUGAGUCUGAGGCUGUGGUCUCUGGAUCCAGUCAUUAUGUUUUUAUAGAACAAUUAAACCAGAUGCUAUAACGGUGUUUAAAAAAAAAAAAAUAAUGAAACACUUGCUUCCUUUUGGGCCACCCCCCAGGAAGGGCUGAUUUCAAAAUCUGGGGGGCGAGCAACCUCAAGGAACACAAUCCCCCUUCCCACCAAGAAGAGGAUUUUAACAGCAAAGAAGAGAAGCAACACCUGUUGGCAGAGUGACAGAGCCAAGCUGGGUGUGGGUUCCUUCUCUUCUGAGUCUGCUGCUUGCUGUCAUAGCCUUUUGUGUACAGUGAUGUGUCUGUAUCUUUAAUGUAAAUAGACAGAUGAUGAAAAAAGAGUCUAUUUUAGUGUUAGGAAGCCCUGGCGGGGAGUAAGAGCAAGGGGGGUCGGAAUUCUCCAGGGGCUUCUUGGGAUUGAGCCCUGCUUCUGUGUGUGGCCACACCGCCUGCCCCCUCCCAGCAGCCCCCAAAGACGUAGCAACUCUUUCUCUCAAGGUGCUAAAGGACUCAAAGUGCAGCACGUCCAGUGGAGCCAGCUGGUUCCCACUUCUGUUCAGCCUGGGGUGGGUGGUGGUUCUGCCUGGAACUGGGGGUAGGGUCCACAAGCCUGGGUCCAGGACACAUGUCCCAGUAGGCCGUGGCUGCUCCCACCCUGAGGGUGGGUUUGUGAAGGCCCAACACUCCAAGAAGCACCCUGAGAACUGGCUCUAGGAUAGCCCAAGAUCUUCCGGAUGGAUGUCAGGGUGCAACCAAGGCUUCUCACAGUCCCUCGCCGGAAGGAGGUGAAGACCAAUCCCCACUGCUGGUAUGGGCCCCUUCACAGCCAACAGAAGUGGAAGACCUUCAUGUGACACGUCUAGUUCUUCAGCGCUGUGGAGUCUGCGUGGGUCCCCAAUGUACAUUGAGUGGGGCCCAGUUAGAUAAUGACUGGCCCAAGUUUGCACAACAUGGAAGGUAUUGGUCGGGAGCAAACACCCCGUUUCCAUCACCUCGAAGCUUCAUAGUCUCCCCCGCUGCCCCAGGAAAUGGCUGAUGGGGUCGGGGCAGCAUGACUUUGCACUGUACAGUUCACUAGGGCAUCUCCCAAGCUUCACCGGCCUUCUGGUUCAUGCCUUCGGUAAGCAUUUCCAUGCCCUCUGCUUACUGUGACAGUUGAUGACAAAUCUUGCGCUGCCAUGUUUGCUGUGGGUAACUCCGUGUGGUGUCUGUCCUACCUUGCUUUCUCUUCUCACUGCCCCACAGUUUGGUUUUGUGUUACAAACAGAAAAAGCUGUUCCGAGGUUCCCACCCCACCACAUUCCUCCUUCCUGUUCCCUCUUCACUGUAGCCCCUUCUCACCCCACAUCAAAAGUUACCACAGAAGGUUUCCUUUGUAUAGAAUAUUUAUUUUGAAGCUCUAUUUUAAUAGUAUUUAUUUUAGAAAGUCUACUAUUGUAAGAGUUCUUCUGUUUGUGAAGAAAAAAACAAGUUAAAAACUGAAUGUACUGAUCUAGAAAAUAUAUAUAAAUAUAUAUUGUUAAAUAUA